UACGAAGGGGGCUAGCGUUGUUCGGAAUCACUGGGCGUAAAGCGCACGUAGGCGGAUUUUUAAGUCAGGGGUGAAAUCCCGAGGCUCAACCUCGGAACUGCCUUUGAUACUGGAGAUCUUGAGUCCGGAAGAGGUAAGUGGAACUGCGAGUGUAGAGGUGAAAUUCGUAGAUAUUCGCAAGAACACCAGUGGCGAAGGCGGCUUACUGGUCCGGAACUGACGCUGAGGUGCGAAAGCGUGGGGAGCGAACAGG
rnacentral:rRNA from 1 species